rnacentral:pre_miRNA from 1 species
UUUAAUUUUUAGAUAUAAUGUUUGACUCUUCGUCUUAUUAAAAAAUCGAUUAAUAUUUUUAUUUUUAUUAGAUGAUAAAACAUAAAUAAUACUUUAUGCGUGACUAUUUUUUAAAAAAAUUUAAAAAAUUUUCAAAUAAGACGGAUGAUCAAACACUCGACAAGGAAACCGAAAGGCUGUCUUUUUU